UUGUCCGGAAAUCAGCAGUUCGACAGUUGUAGAAGAUUUCUAUGGAUGCUAGAGGUAUGUUGAGGACUGUGAAAAAAGAAAAUGUCUGUGCACAAGUGUAGAACUAAUGCUUUGAAAUGUCUGGAGGAAAAGUUGCCGAAACCAUUUUCUCGUCCCGCCAUUUUGAGGAAAGAUGGUCGAACUCUUACCAUCAACCAACAGAAUUUUUGAAAGAACAACAGGCUGGGUAGUGAAAAGUGAUGAAGUGGAAAGUGGAUCUGAAAGUUACACAUAAGCCACAAGGAAAUUCAAAAUACUAACCUAAUGCAUGUUGCAGACUUAACAGCCAUGAAGAUGACAACUCAGAUUAACCUGUUGAACUGAAGGUGGUUGGAAAAAUUUAAACAAAAGCACAGAAAAAUAAAGUGAGAAAGAUAGUACAGUAGCUUGUGGAAUUAAUCCAGCCUGUUACACUAGAAUUUCCAUUCCACACUAUCCUCUACUAAACUUUUCAAUAAUUUCUAAGUAGGUAAAAGGUUUCCUGAUGUACUGGCAAAAAUCAGUAUCAAAUUAUGGUAAUUAAAUACUCACAGGUAAGUCUUUUACUUCCAAAUCAGAUUUUCUUCAUCAAUUCAUGUUGCAGACUUAGCAGCCAUGAAGAUGACAGUGCAAGUAAACCUGUUGGACUCGACGUCGUGAAAUUCAUCUUUGUCGGACUCCCGUCAGCAGUUGAGUACUGAGCUGCUCCUUCUUAAGAUGUUUUUUGCAUAAAUUUCGACUAUAAUAAUAUAAUAAAUUAACUACUGUGGAGAUGGGAGAAUUCCGGUUUGCUGUAUCGAAGUUAUGAGGGAAGACUAAGGUAAUUAUUUGUUUGUGAAAUAAUUGCAUGUUUUCAUGCGUUUUGUUGUUGACGACUUGUUCGAUUCCAAGCAGAUGGUUAUUCCACGAUGUUAAAAACAAUUAUUUUUUUCUCUGCUGGAGGUAAUAUUGCAAUGGUUGAUAAUAAUUUUUAUAUAGUCGGACAAAUUGUUAGGCGAUUGGAAUUUCGUGGAAUAAUCAUCGCCAAAUAGACUAGUGGCGGUAUCAACGCAUAAGAUGCACUAUUCUUGUUAAGUGUUACACUUCGAAGCCAUCGUCCAUGACAUUGACUAGCUGUAUGUAUCAGUUGAGCUGGCCAAUGCGGAAGAUGGAAUAUGAUGUUAAUACGAUGUUUGAAAUAUUGUUAAAAAAUUUGUGAUUUUACAGCCUUUUCCAGUGAUGUGAAUUGUUAUGAUACGUUGGAUUGGGCCUUGCGUCGGAUGGAAAUUAUUCUUUUGAUUAGAUUAUUUUCUUUUGCAUAGGGGCAAUUAACAUCUGUAAAAUGUUUGUUAGUUUCAUGGUGGUUUUCCAAUCGCCAGCCCGUGGCUGGCCGUUGGUUAGCAGCUUUAGUUCUUAUUACUAAUCCAUAAUUAUCUUUCACGUAAACUAUAUUGAUAAUAACUAGGUGAGAAAAAAUACGUCGUGUGGAGUGAAUAUUACUAUAUUGCCAGAUGUUUUGUAAGUGGAGAUGGUUUACUAAAUUAAUCGCAAAAAAUCUUGCUAUAUAGUUCUUCUAAGUCAGCAACGUUCUGUCAUUGCUUUA